rnacentral:rRNA from 1 species
AACGAACGCUGGCGGCAGGCCUAACACAUGCAAGUCGAGCGGUAAGGCCCUUUCGGGGGUACACGAGCGGCGAACGGGUGAGUAACACGUGGGUGACCUGCCCUCAGCUCUGGGAUAAGCCUGGGAAACCGGGUCUAAUACCGGAUAUGACUCCAUGACGCAUGUUGUGGGGUGGAAAGCCUUGUGCGGCUGAGGAUGGGCCCGCGGCCUAUCAGCUUGUUGGUGGGGUGAUGGCCUACCAAGGCGACGACGGGUAGCCGGCCUGAGAGGGCGACCGGCCACACUGGGACUGAGACACGGCCCAGACUCCUACGGGAGGCAGCAGUGGGGAAUCUUGCGCAAUGGGCGAAAGCCUGACGCAGCGACGCCGCGUGAGGGAUGACGGCCU